CCUCACUGGAGAUGAGCCUAUGGUUUAAGGCC
rnacentral:piRNA from 1 species